CGGUGUUCUUCAGGAGGGAAUUCAGCAGGACGUGGCCGUUCCUCGUCGGCUUCGCCGUCACCGGAGCUAUCAUCACCAAGUUCUCCCUCGGCCUCUCCGAGGAAGACGCCAAGAACUCGCCUUUUGUCCAGAAGCACAAGAGGUGAAUUCUUGGAUGGUAAUCGCAUCGCCCACUUUGCACCUGCGCAUCAUGGGAGGAGAUAUUUGCUUCCUUUGUUCGAAUUGACGAAAUAACAGGAGAAAGAUGUUUGGGAUUCUCUGUGUUUUUGCUUCUUUUGGAUUCUGUGGGUUUCAUAUACUUUUGACAUGAGGCAAUUAAGCAUCAAUUUUCAUUGAA